UGUUGCUUACGGUGGUGGUAGUGUGGGAUCAGAGAGUUGGUUAGGGGAAGACACCAACAUCAAUCCUAAAAGUGACUGUCCAGCAAUUCCUCCCUUCCUCCACCCCCAAUUGCCUAGAAUGGAGUGAUGGGCGUGGGCAUAGUAUAGGGCUAUGGCAUCACAGCCAAGUAAGAACCUUUUUAUUUAUUUUUUCUCUAUUCUCUUUUAUUAAGGCUUUGGAAAAUAAGUGGUGGAUUUCAAGUUAAUCCAAGGAACCAAGAACCCUGCUGAAGGCUUGAAAAAAUGAUGUUGUGGUUUCCUAAAAGAAAAAGAGAAGUCUUAUUCUCUGUGCAUGAAUCUUUCUCAACCACCCCUGGC
rnacentral:lncRNA from 1 species